AUUGAACGCUAGCUACAGGCUUAACACAUGCAAGUCGAGGGACCGGCGCACGGGUGAGUAACACGUAUCCAACCUGCCCUUUACUCGGGGAUAGCCUUUCGCAAGAAAGAUUAAUACCCGCUGUAAACGAUGGGGAUGCGUUCCAUUAGUUUGUUGGUGAGGUAACGGCUCACCAAGCCUUCGAUGGAUAGGGGUUCUGAGAGUCAGGGCCCCCACAGGGGAACGGGGAAACGGUCCAAAAUCAUACGGGAGGAAGCAGUGAGGAAGAUUGGUCAAUGGGCGUUAGCCUGAACCAGCCAAGUAGCGUGAAGGAUGAAGGAUUAUGGGUCGUAAACUUCUUGUAGAUAAGAAUAUGUAUUAUAUGAAUAAGGAUCGGCUAACUCCGUGCCAGCAGCCGCGGUAAUUC
rnacentral:rRNA from 1 species